rnacentral:rRNA from 1 species
GACGAACGCUGGCGGCGUGCUUAACACAUGCAAGUCGAGCGAUGAAGCACCUUCGGGUGUGAAUUAGCGGCGAACGGGUGAGGAACACGUGAAGAAUCUGCCUUCAACUCUGGGAUAACUCCGGGAAACCGGGGCUAAUACCGGAUAUGAGCCUUGAUCGCAUGAUCGGGGCUGGAAAGUUUUUCGGUUGAAGAUGACUUCGCGGCCUAUCAGCUUGUUGGUGAGGUAAUGGCUCACCAAGGCGACGACGGGUAGCCGGCCUGAGAGGGCGACCGGCUACACUGGGACUGAGACACGGCCCAGACUCCUACGGGAGGCAGCAGUGGGGAAUAUUGGGCAAUGGAGGAAACUCUGACUCAGCGACGCCGCGUGAGGGAUGAAGGCCUUCGGGUUGUAAACCUCUUUCAGUAGGGAAGAAGCGAAAGUGACGGUACCUACAGAAGAAGCACCGGCUAACUAUGUGCCAGCCGCCGCCGUAA